UAGAUCUGCCAUUUCACCCUGCAACUCACAGCUAGCAGCCUACUGAAGCUAAGCAGGUGUGAGCCUGGUCAGUACCUGGAUGGGAGACCUCCUGGGAAAAACUAAGGUUGCUGCUGGAA
rnacentral:rRNA from 1 species